UGGGGGAUAUUGCACAAUGGGCGAAAGCCUGAUGCAGCGACGCCGCGUGGGGGAUGAAGGCCUUCGGGUUGUAAACUUCUUUUGCUCUGAACAAGGCAUGCCUUUGGUGUGUGUUGAGUGUAGGGGUUGAUUAGCGCCGGCUAACUACGUGCCAGCAGCCGCGGUAAUACGUAGGGCGCGAGCGUUGUCCGGAAUUAUUGGGCGUAAAGGGCUUGUAGGUGGCUGGUUGCGUCUGUCGUGAAAGCUCAUGGCUUAACUGUGGGUUUGCGGUGGGUACGGGCUGGCUUGAGUGCAGUAGGGGGGGCUGGAAUUCCUGGUGUAGAGGUGGAAUGCGCAGAUAUCAGGAGGAAUACCGGUGGCGAAGGCGGGUCUCUGGGCUGUUACUGACGCUGAGGAGCGAAAGCGUGGGGAGCGAACAGG
rnacentral:rRNA from 1 species